ensembl:lncRNA
AAAUUAGGGCACUCCAGAAAAUAUCUGAGGCUGGGGCUGGCGAAGUUCCAGCAGUAUGCAACACGGCAAUAGCUGCCGGAGCAAGGGAGCUGUGGUGAGCAGCUGCCCCACUGUGGCUUCACUUUCACCAUACACCCACCUUCCAGGAAGAUUUGGACAGUGAUGAUGAAGAUUUAUGCACCAGUCUAAAUGACUUAUAUGCUCCGGAAGAUGUUCCUAGUGGAUCUUUAGUACUGUUGUUUAAAUACCCUGGUGAGAGGUACUCUAAAAACACCUGGCUGAAUUUCCAAAGGACAAUCACUCUCCAGGGUUCUCCAUCCUGAGGUCGUGACUCCAGCAGGUGUUACAGGGUCACCAAAAGACUUCCUAUCUCAUCUUGCCAAGUAGGAGGAAUGUUCUGGGUGGAAAAAGAAAUGAUCCCAGUGCUGCUCUGACAUGGAAAAAAAUGAGCUAGCAGUCUAGAAUGACAGAUAGGGACAUUGUAGGGUUAGCAAUCUAAAAUGACAAACAGGAACACUUUAGGCAUUUAAAUAUAUCUUCUCUAUGUCACCUAGCUGAAAAGCUAAGUGCAUCUUGUAUAAAUUAAGAGAAAUGUUUCUUACUGGUAGCCCAGGGGAAGUACAAACUGGCUUUCAGUCUUCAGGUAUAGAAAUACAGCAGUGCUGGAUGUGACCGCAGCAUCAGGAAGCGUGGGGUCCUGGCACAGGGCUGCACGCAAUGGGGCCUGGCUGAGAUACUCCCCUCACUGCUCUCUGCCCGCACACAGUGCUGGCACUGCACCUAGGGGAGCAGCAAUGCUCAGGAGCACUGCACGCUCUCACAGGCUUUGGGAUAGAUGGAGCUUGUCUUCUUUCUUUUCAAGGAAGCAUAAACAUUUCUAUGCCUUUGUAAUCAAAUAAUAACUAAGUUGGUUUUGUGGGGAAAGAGGGAUGAAGAAUUUACGGUUUAGUCCUUGCCCAAGUAAGGACAUGGUCAGAAUGGCGAGUCUGGAACAGUUCAAUGGGUGGGCGUUUAUUAUGGAAUAAUAAGUUUUAUUCCAAAAUAAUUCCCAUACCUCAAUAGUGCAUAACUAAUUCUAGAAUAAAAGGGCUCUUUCCCUUUGAUAGAGCACACACACAUAGGCCUCUGCUUGAAUGGCUAUUGCUGAAUGAAUGAUGCACAGUCGUCAUUUCAGUUUCCCUGUGUAGACAAGCCCUAAGAGUUUCUGAAUGCUAAUCCUUCUUCUGCCACUAAUGUGCUGUGUAACCUUGGGCAAGUCACUACGUUUCUAUUUUAAUAUUCUCAUUUAGACAGAAAGGGAAAAUGAUAUAGUUAUUUACCUCAGAGGAGUGAGGUGAGAGUAAAUUAAUUAACAUUUAUGUUGCUCUCUGAAGGCUUAGUGUUAUGAAAGGCUAAGUAGUAGGACUGCUUCUGAUCAGGGCUGGCCGGAGCUCCUGGAAGCGCAGGGAAAAUUUGACUAAGAAUCCAAACCACCCUGAAACAGAAUGCAUUAUUUAUUCAUUGAUGAACAAUGAACAUGUGAAAAUUUUAUACAGCACGCUCUUCCAAGAAGGAAAGCAUUACAAUUUGGAUAUACAAUGCACCAGAAAAACAGAUGAGGUAAUUCACGUGUAGAUUGUUCACGAAAGCCCAAGCUCGGUCAGUGAGUUUCAGGAUAUGGAAAAAGUCCGUAUUCUCGUUCUUCAUCUCAGGAAGUCAGUGUAUAUGGGGAAAGUUUUGGUGUAUUUUCUAGCACUACUGGCCUAGGGCUUUUAGGGAAUUCUCUUUAAUAUGAGUGAUUUCUUUGAUCCAGUUUACAGCACAUAAACCAUUACACUGUCACAGCAUAGGACUGUUUUGCUUUGGGGCACCAGGGCCAGGAAUAAGUAGCCAGCCUUGGCACAAAAGGCAGCAUCUUGUGAACUGUAAUUUCUGUGUCCUUUUUUUUCACUGACUAACAGGAUUUUCCUGACAAGAAGUAGAUAUUAACGCUCUCUGAUUUCACCAGUUAUAACUCCGUGCAACGUGUAUGGUCAACUCUGAACUCUAAUGGAGGGGUACCAACAUUUUAAAGCAACCCUCUCUGCAGCCCACAGAAUUCACCCCAAAGUAAAUCUGUUCCAUUUAAUUGGCAUGAGUAAUUACUAUUUGGACGUAAAGUAUUUGAAGUCAUUAAGACUCAGGGUGAGAAACACGCAUCAGUUAGAACUGGAGAAAAUGCAUUUUUAAAUAAAAGUAAUAUUUU